GCCGACGUAGCUCAAACGGCGGAGCAUCCGCCUUGUAAGCGGAGGGUUGUGGGUUCAAUUCCCACCGUCGGCU
rnacentral:tRNA from 1 species